UUAAGUUAGAAAGGGCGCACGGUGGAUGCCUUGACACUAGGAGUCGAUGAAGGACGGGACUAACGCCGAUAUGCUUCGGGGAGCUGUAAGUAAGCUUUGAUCCGAAGAUUUCCGAAUGGGGAAACCCACCAUACGUAAUGGUAUGGUAUCCUUAUCUGAAUACAUAGGGUAAGGAAGACAGACCCAGGGAACUGAAACAUCUAAGUACCUGGAGGAAGAGAAAGCAAAUGCGAUUUCCUGAGUAGCGGCGAGCGAAACGGAACAUAGCCCAAACCAAGAGGCUUGCCUCUUGGGGUUGUAGGACAUUCUAUACGGAGUUACAAAGGAACGAGGUAGACGAAGCGACCUGGAAAGGUCCGUCGUAGAGGGUAACAACCCCGUAGUCGAAACUUCGUUCUCUCUUGAAUGUAUCCUGAGUACGGCGGAACACGUGAAAUUCCGUCGGAAUCUGGGAGGACCAUCUCCCAAGGCUAAAUACUCCCUAGUGAUCGAUAGUGAACCAGUACCGUGAGGGAAAGGUGAAAAGCACCCCGGAAGGGGAGUGAAAGAGAUCCUGAAACCGUGUGCCUACAAAUAGUCAGAGCCCGUUAACGGGUGAUGGCGUGCCUUUUGUAGAAUGAACCGGCGAGUUACGAUCCCGUGCGAGGUUAAGCUGAAGAGGCGGAGCCGCAGCGAAAGCGAGUCUGAAUAGGGCGUUUAGUACGUGGUCGUAGACCCGAAACCAGGUGAUCUACCCAUGUCCAGGGUGAAGUUCAGGUAACACUGAAUGGAGGCCCGAACCCACGCACGUUGAAAAGUGCGGGGAUGAGGUGUGGGUAGCGGAGAAAUUCCAAUCGAACCUGGAGAUAGCUGGUUCUCCCCGAAAUAGCUUUAGGGCUAGCCUUAAGUGUAAGAGUCUUGGAGGUAGAGCACUGAUUGGACUAGGGGUCCUCAUCGGAUUACCGAAUUCAGUCAAACUCCGAAUGCCAAUGACUUAUCCUUAGGAGUCAGACUGCGAGUGAUAAGAUCCGUAGUCAAAAGGGAAACAGCCCAGACCGCCAGCUAAGGUCCCAAAGUGUGUAUUAAGUGGAAAAGGAUGUGGAGUUGCUUAGACAACUAGGAUGUUGGCUUAGAAGCAGCCACCAUUUAAAGAGUGCGUAAUAGCUCACUAGUCGAGUGACUCUGCGCCGAAAAUGUACCGGGGCUAAAUACACCACCGAAGCUGCGGAUUGAUACCAAUGGUAUCAGUGGUAGGGGAGCGUUCUAAGGACAGUGAAGUCAGACCGGAAGGACUGGUGGAGUGCUUAGAAGUGAGAAUGCCGGUAUGAGUAGCGAAAGACGGGUGAGAAUCCCGUCCACCGAAUGCCUAAGGUUUCCUGAGGAAGGCUCGUCCGCUCAGGGUUAGUCAGGACCUAAGCCGAGGCCGACAGGCGUAGGCGAUGGACAACAGGUUGAUAUUCCUGUACCACCUCUUUAUCGUUUGAGCAAUGGAGGGACGCAGAAGGAUAGAAGAAGCGUGCGAUUGGUUGUGCACGUCCAAGCAGUUAGGCUGAUAAGUAGGCAAAUCCGCUUAUCGUAAAGGCUGAGCUGUGAUGGGGAAGCUCCUUAUGGAGCGAAGUCUUUGAUUCCCCGCUGCCAAGAAAAGCUUCUAGCGAGAUAAAAGGUGCCUGUACCGCAAACCGACACAGGUAGGCGAGGAGAGAAUCCUAAGGUGUGCGAGAGAACUCUGGUUAAGGAACUCGGCAAAAUGACCCCGUAACUUCGGGAGAAGGGGUGCUUUCUUAACGGAAAGCCGCAGUGAAUAGGCCCAAGCGACUGUUUAGCAAAAACACAGCUCUCUGCGAAGCCGUAAGGCGAAGUAUAGGGGGUGACACCUGCCCGGUGCUGGAAGGUUAAGGAGAGGGGUUAGCGUAAGCGAAGCUCUGAACUGAAGCCCCAGUAAACGGCGGCCGUAACUAUAACGGUCCUAAGGUAGCGAAAUUCCUUGUCGGGUAAGUUCCGACCCGCACGAAAGGUGUAACGAUUUGGGCACUGUCUCAACCAGAGACUCGGUGAAAUUAUAGUACCUGUGAAGAUGCAGGUUACCCGCGACAGGACGGAAAGACCCCGUGGAGCUUUACUGUAGCCUGAUAUUGAAUUUUGGUACAGUUUGUACAGGAUAGGCGGGAGCCAUUGAAACCGGAGCGCUAGCUUCGGUGGAGGCGCUGGUGGGAUACCGCCCUGACUGUAUUGAAAUUCUAACCUACGGGUCUUAUCGACCCGGGAGACAGUGUCAGGUGGGCAGUUUGACUGGGGCGGUCGCCUCCUAAAGUGUAACGGAGGCGCCCAAAGGUUCCCUCAGAAUGGUUGGAAAUCAUUCGUAGAGUGCAAAGGCAUAAGGGAGCUUGACUGCGAGACCUACAAGUCGAGCAGGGACGAAAGUCGGGCUUAGUGAUCCGGUGGUUCCGUAUGGAAGGGCCAUCGCUCAACGGAUAAAAGCUACCCCGGGGAUAACAGGCUUAUCUCCCCCAAGAGUCCACAUCGACGGGGAGGUUUGGCACCUCGAUGUCGGCUCAUCGCAUCCUGGGGCUGUAGUCGGUCCCAAGGGUUGGGCUGUUCGCCCAUUAAAGCGGUACGCGAGCUGGGUUCAGAACGUCGUGAGACAGUUCGGUCCCUAUCCGUCGUGGGCGUAGGAAAUUUGAGAGGAGCUGUCCUUAGUACGAGAGGACCGGGAUGGACGCACCGCUGGUGUACCAGUUGUUCUGCCAAGGGCAUAGCUGGGUAGCUAUGUGCGGAAGGGAUAAGUGCUGAAAGCAUCUAAGCAUGAAGCCCCCCUCAAGAUGAGAUUUCCCAUAGCGUAAGCUAGUAAGAUCCCUGAAAGAUGAUCAGGUUGAUAGGUUCGAGGUGGAAGCAUGGUGACAUGUGGAGCUGACGAAUACUAAUAGAUCGAGGACUUAACCAU
rnacentral:rRNA from 1 species